AUGAAUAUAGGCAUUUUGUUUCAAAAAUUGAGGCAGAUUGACUUCACAACCUUUCAAAUUUUCAACUUCUGUAUCAAACUCAACCAUUGGCUGGCAGUGGGAUUUUGGAAUCUAAUGAAGAAUAUGACUGUGGUUACAAAGAGAUAUGUUGCCAUCUCUUUGUCGAUAAAUCCUGCUUUUAAAAUGAAAGACAGAAUAAAACAACACAGUCUGAAUAGAUCUGCACCCUGUGAGUUUCUACAACCAGAGGCUGUACCCAGACUGUCACAUAGAAGAUCCCUCCAGUGCCUCAUCAGUAUCUUCUUCACAGUAACUGUUGCCACAGUGUAUUUUUAAUCUUUAUUUUUUUAUUGGAAUGUCAAUUUAAAAAUUGCUGUGAUUUUAGAACAUGUAAGCUGAAAGGCUCAGCAGAAUGUGGUUCAGGACCAUGUUGCAGAUCAAACUGUGAGGUAAAUUUCUGACAUUUGUGAAAAGAAAACUGAACUGUGAGAAUAGAAGGCUGUAUUUACUGACUCAAUGUGUAAUUGACAAAAAAGAAUGAAGAAACAAUUCAAUGAGAUAAAGUACAGAACACAUAAGCAAAU
rnacentral:lncRNA from 1 species